AUAAGAGGUCCAGCCUGCCCAGUGACUAAGUUCAACGGCCGCGGUAUCCUAACCGUGCGAAGGUAGCGUAAUCACUUGUUCUUUAAAUGAGGACUAGUAUGAAUGGCACCACGAAGGUUAUGCUGUCUCCUUUUUCUAAUCAAUGAAACUGAUCUCCCCGUGAAGAAGCGGGGAUACAACUAUAAGACGAGAAGACCCUAUGGAGCUUUAAACCAUGUAACACUGGCUUAUACAUUAAAAUAUUCCAGAAUUUCUCACAAUUACUCUAGCCACCAUGAUUACUAGUUUUAGGUUGGGGUGACCACGGAGCAAAAAUUAACCUCCAUGUUAAACGGAGCUACUCCUGAGCCAAAAGCCACGACUUUAAGCACUAAUAAAUUAAUAUUAAUUGACCCAAUAUUUUUGAUCAACGAACCAAGUUACCCUAGGGAUAACAGCGCAAUCCAUUUUAAGAGCCCCUAUCGACAAAUGGGUUUACGACCUCGAUGUUGGAUCAGGGUGUCCCAGUGGUGCAGCCGCUACUAAAGGUUCGUUUGUUCAACGAUUAAAACCCUACGUGA
rnacentral:rRNA from 1 species